rnacentral:rRNA from 1 species
CCUACGGGGGGCAGCAGUGGGGAAUAUUGGACAAUGGGCGAAAGCCUGAUCCAGCCAUGCCGCGUGUGUGAAGAAGGCCUUCGGGUUGUAAAGCACUUUCAGUGGGGAAGAAAGCCUUGGGGCUAAUACCCUCGAGGAAGGACAUCACCCACAGAAGAAGCACCGGCUAACUCCGUGCCAGCAGCCGCGGUAAUACGGAGGGUGCGAGCGUUAAUCGGAAUUACUGGGCGUAAAGCGCGCGUAGGCGGUCUGGUAAGCCGGUUGUGAAAGCCCCGGGCUCAACCUGGGAACGGCAUCCGGAACUGUCAGGCUAGAGUGCAGGAGAGGAAGGUAGAAUUCCCGGUGUAGCGGUGAAAUGCGUAGAGAUCGGGAGGAAUACCAGUGGCGAAGGCGGCCUUCUGGACUGACACUGACGCUGAGGUGCGAAAGCGUGGGUAGCAAACAGGAUUAGAUACCCCAGUAGUC